rnacentral:rRNA from 1 species
GAUGAACGCUAGCGGGAGGCCUAACACAUGCAAGCCGAGCGGUAGAGUUUCUUCGGAAACUUGAGAGCGGCGCACGGGUGGGUAUCACGGGGGCAACCUACGUUAAUCUGGGGGAUAGCCUUUCGAAAGGAAGAUUAAUACCCCAUAAUAUAAUGAUUGGCAUCAUUUAUUAUUAAAAACUCAGGUGGUUAGAGAUGGAAACGCGCAAGAUUAGAUAGUUGGUGAGGUAACGGCUCAGCAAGUAAAUGAUCUUUAGGGGUCCGGAGAGGGAGAUCCCCCAAAUCGGAACUGGGACACGGACAAGACUCCUACGGGAGGACGCAGUGAGGAAUAUGAGGCAGUGGAUGAGAGCCUUGUCCAGCCAUCCCGCGUGAAGGAGGACGGUCCUAUGGAUUGUAAACUUCUUUUGUACAGGGAUAAACCUACCCUCGUGAGGGUAGCUGAAGGUACUGUACGAAUAAGCACCGGCUAACUUCGUG